AUUGAACGCUGGCGGUAGGCCUAACACAUGCAAGUCGAACGAGUGGCGGACGGGUGAGUAAUGUCUGGGAACCUGCCCGAUGGAGGGGGAUAACUACUGGAAACGGUAGCUAAUACCGCAUACCAUCGGAUGUUCCCAGAUGGGAUUAGCUAGUAGGUGGGGUAACGGCUCACCUAGGCGACGAUCCCUAGCUGGUCUGAGAGGAUGACCAGCCACACUGGAACUGAGACACGGUCCAGACUCCUACGGGAGGCAGCAGUGGGGAAUAUUGCACAAUGGGCGAAAGCCUGAUGCAGCCAGGCCGCGUGUAUGAAGAAGGCCCUAGGGUUGUAAAGUACUUUCAGUCGGGAGGCGUUACCGACAGAAGAAGCACCGGCUAACUCCGUGCCAGCAGCCGCGGUAAUUC
rnacentral:rRNA from 1 species